CUAAAGCAAACGCCCGCCGGGCUCGGUGAAAUCGCCUCAACCGGCGGUUAUUGUCGAUCUCUCGGAUUUGAGGCGAUUUAGUUGAGGUGAGCUGUUUCGCUACUUAUAUUGUUUAAUUUAAUGUUCGGCUUCAAUGGAGAUUUUAGUCACGAUGAUUUUAUCAUCUUUAGUGCGGCCGGGUUGUGGUGGAAUUCUCGGCAGAUCCGUUGUUAGGCAUAUGUGUUUUGUUCCUUGAUAAUGUGAGGAAAGUAUCUUUCCUCUCUUUUCCUUGUCCUUGUGAUGCUAUGUUGUAUGUCAUAUAUUUGGUGAAUGAAUAUAUCAAGAGAGAGUAAAUUGUUUAGACAUAUGCAUAGUAUGAUUAAAGUGAGUUCUUCUUUGUGAUGAUAAAUUGUAUAGAAUGUGCUUGGAUGAAUAUAUGUGCGGGCAUAGUGUGCUUAAAUUGAUUCUUUGUUCGCAUGAUAUGAGAUUAGGCUUAAAAUACUAGGUUAUGUGAAGUAAAUGAAUUCAUGGUUAUAAAGAAUAAGAAAGCUAUGUAUGUGAUUAGAAAGUGUAGAAACUAGGAGCUAAAUUGAGUUCUUGCUUUUUGGACUGCAUGUCCAAUUUUAUUACGCGGCUAGCUAAGUAAAGUAAACCCUGUUUUCUGUAGAAAUCUUAUAUAGAAAAGUUGUAGAUAACCUCUUUAUCUCACUUGUGUAAAAAUUUCAAGACCCUAGGCCUAGCAGUUUAGGAGUUAUGAUUUUUCCAAGUCCAGUUUCAGAAUCUGUCCAAAUUCUGUGCAAGUUUCGAAAAUUGGAUUGUUUGAUUAAGUAAAACUGAGAAUCAGCUCUUAGUAAUUAUAAAGAAGUUGUAGUACUUUUUGUAGGCUUUCCAAAAAGUCUUGGAUCCCCCGUUUUGGUGGUCUAGAAGUCAAGUUAUGGCUGUAUGAAAUGUGAUGUUUGAAUCUGUCAAAAGUCUGGACAGCAAUGUUUGUUUGUAUUAACUGACUUCGAUCCACAUUGAAUCACCUUGAGAUGAUUAUAAAUGAGUUGUAGAAAAUUUUAUUAGAUUCCUAAAAAGUCUAGGAUCACCUGAUUUGGAUAACUGAAACUCCAGUUAUGGAUUUUUGAAGUGAAUAGUCGAAAUCUGCCCCUAUCUGGACAGCGCUAUCAUUUUAAUAUUAUUUGGCCUUACUAAGCAUUGAAUCACUUUGAGAUGAUAAUAUUGAAGUUGUAGGGCACUUCCUAAGAUUUUUAGAAAGUCCUUGUUCACCCCUUUUGGAUGAAUAUUUUGUGAGUUAUGAGCAAAACCGUUGACUGUUGUGCUGCUGUCUAGAAAUUCUGCAAGUGUUGAGAUGAUUGUUUAGAGUCAUUCUUGUUUGGUUUUGUAAGAUUAGUUAGUUUUUUAUUCUUAAUUGGUGAAGUGAUGCCUUGUUUUAGUAAUUGUCAUGUUAUAUGUUUGUUGAUUGUGUUGGGUACAUUUGUUUAGUGAAGUCGAAGCCUUGCCUUAGUAAUUGUUAUGAUAAAUCGUUAUGAUUAUAUUAUAUUGAUGGUUAGAAUGCCCUAGAUGAAUAUAGGUUAUUGCCAUGUGAAUAUGGUGAAGUUAGUAAUGCGAGGAAGGGUUAGUAAACAAGCAUACCUAGUAUUAUUAAGCUCUUAGUGUUGGAAUCUAACUAAUGCAAGUAGAGUUAUGCAUGGUUAUUAUUUUUAUUUUUUGUGUUAGUCAGAGUUUUGGUUGUUAUGCUCUAGUCAAGAGAGAUAAAAUGCUUAUGAAUGGUUCGCUACGUCCUGCUGUUAGAAUUGGAUCCGGUUAAGUUAAUAUGCCAUAGCUAUAGUUCUUAAUGUGAUAUCGACACCUAGUAUUUUCGUAUUAGAGUUGCGAUGUCUUGCUAUAAGUGUUUGAUAUUCAUCGAGAAGCUUUAUCUAUAUUGUGCUAUUUUUAUACUUGCACUCAUACAUGUGCAUUAUGCAUAUCAUUUAGGUACAUUAAUUGAGCACGUGAUGUGGAAGACAAGGUUUGGAUUGAUCUCAAGAUGAUGCUGAUGGACGAAGCUAAAGUGGGUGAAUCAAACAAGUGCCAGGAUGAGAGAUGCUCACCAUGUGGUCGUCAUCUAACAACACUAACUUAGUGUUAUCCCAGGCAAGACCCAGUGCAUGCAACCCCUUCCUUGUGUUUUUAAAUGAUUUUUACACACUUUAAGUCUAGCGAAAUGUGCAUUAGGUUUAUAGGAGUUGCUUGGAAACCCUUUGUUGCAUUGGCUACCUUGAAAUCCAUUCCUUUUAUAGAUACUUCUGGUGAAGUAUCAAAUAUGAUUUACAAAAUUGCUUAGCCCUGCCUAAAGGUAAAUCUUGCAGAUAGAGUUUGUCCUUUGCACUAAUGCCUAGCUCAAGUUUAUCCUGAGGAAGGAUGGCUCUACCUACAAGAAUAUUUUCACCAAGAUCAUUGGGAGAUCUAAUGCAAGGUUCCCUAUGAUGUUUUAAUCAUCCUAAGGAACAUAAACGAUUCUAAGGAUGGAAGUACUUAAAUCGAAACUUGGGCUAGGAACAUGUGAUAUUCUACCUAGGUUGAUUAAGGAUUAUAGCGAAUGUAGGCUUGAUGAUCGAGGACCUUUUAACUGGCCACAUGCAUCAUCAUGGGUAAGCUUUGCCUCGGUCGGACCAAUACCAAAAAGGCCACCACGCAAUGGGAGUGGAGAGAUGGCGUGAGUAGCAUGUACCCUCCGUGGCAAGAGGCUGGACGGUGGAGUAUCUGUGCUCUCGGUUGGCGUGAACCCAUUCUGGUCUUGAGAAACCGGGUGGCGAGUUGACAUAUGAAAGAGUUAAGUGCUACAUAUGUCGUGCAGUUGGAGAUCCCCAGCUAGGUAUUAAUCGAUUCGGAUCGCCGUACUUCUCGGAUAUGAAGACUUGGUCACUGCCCUACAAUCUAAGUCAUGGAUGGAAUCAUAAUGAGCAAAAAUCAUGUUGUAUUGAUUAAUGUGAUAAUGAAAUUAGACUACAUGCAAACAAGGUCUAUUAAUACUUAAUCUAUCAUUAAAAUGUUGAAAGUAAGGACUCAUUUUAGUAAAGCUUUCUGCAAACUAUUAAAGUUGAUUCUUGGUAAAAGCCUUUCCUUGAUUCCCAAAUCCAGCGUAUCCUUGAGAGUCUUUUUCCUUAGUCGGGUAAGACUUGCGAAAGUACACUCCGUACUCAGGGUUUUCAAACCCAUGUUGUUGCAGGUACUAGCUUUGUGCUGCUGUGGAUGGUUUUAAGCGCCGGUGGGCACGGCCUUCUUAUAGGUUAAAGUAGCUCUUCUAUGCUUCUUAUUGAGGAAUGUCAUUGAACUAGCAUAUAUUUCAAACUUAUAAAGAAUUUAUAAUAUUUCAAAGUUUAUUUCUUUGAAUCACUUUUGGAACCACUCCGAUAAAUAUAAUGUAAAUUUGUUGUAACUUGUAACUUUUUGUAAUAAAGAAAUUCCGCUGCAAAAUGUUGGUGUGUGAUUUGUGUUUACUUAAUCUUGCAAUCUUGGUUGUAAGUGGUUUAUCCGGGGUCCUUGGGACACUCGGACGGAUCCUGUUAAGUUAUCCAGUGCAUAUGCAUAGCUGUCUGAGGUCUUUGAGACAAGGGCAGGUGCAUGUGGGCCCAAUAACUUGGGAGGUUCUGCCACAGCUGGUAUCGGAGCAGGAUUAAGUAUAAUACAGUCACAUACGUAUUUUCAAAACAAAGUUUUGGUUUUGAAAAAACCUAUUUUCAACUAAACACAUUGUUUGGUUUGGAAAACAAAUUUGAAAAAAAAAACUAUAAUGCUAGUGACAUCCUCUGUUAAACCCUAAAACAAAGGACUAUCAGGUGGCUUAGAUUAAAAUACUAACCCACAACCUGGGGGGAUUGCAUACAUGUGUAAUGUUAUUUUUGAGGCCAUUCAGUAUUGAAUGGAUUGACGCUCAGGUAAGGUGAGAUGUGAGAGCAUGACCGGACAAAAGUCGAUCUAGGGGAGUGCUUAAAUGUGGCGCUUGAUUAUAUACAUGCUACACAUAUGUAUAUAUAAAGGCUGCGAUGUGGAGUAUUUACUUUUCUGGGAAUUCGGUACCCCAUGGAUGUGUAUGGGCAUAUAGACAUGGGAAUACUGAGAAGUGUAAUGUACUUGCAAUGACGUACCUACACUUAGGAAAGAAGGUGAGUUACCAUAAUGAGCUCGAGCUACCCUAUGGUUAAAGUGUGGCAGCGGCGCCUAUGCGUGACUCGGCGCUUAAUGAGGAGCUGGCCUCCAUAUAGAAAUAUAUGGAGUAUAAACUAUGAUAAAUUGUCAUGUGUGAUUUGCAUCAUUGAGAGUUGGGCUGUGAUGGAAUUUUCUGCAGGUACACUAACUUUGAACCCGUAAGUGUAGUUGACGACUAGCAAAACACCGAGAGAAGACGUAGGUAUGCCACCGAUAUAGAACGUUAUUGCCAUAUUAUGUUGGCAAAAUUUGUGAGGACGAAUAGGAUGAGCAUGCAUCCUGAUUGUUGCAUCUUGUUUGUCACCUGUGCACGAACAUGCUUCUCUCACCUUUAAUCUAAUAAUUGGUGAUUCUGAACAAACAUGCUCCCCUCAUCAUUAUUCUAAUAAUAAAUAAUUGAAAACUAUGUGAAGUAUCACUAUAUUACGAACUUCGAUAAGUUCCUUGUCCUCUGUCCUUUAGAUUUCCUAUUUAGGUAAUGUAUGUGUUGCUCUCGUUUUGACUGGGUAGAAGGUAUUGUGACUGUUUAAACCCUCUAGCCUUUAAAUUGCAUGAGAUGUUGUUUGUUUUGUUUAUGGAAAGACACCAUGCCCAAUCAACCUUGAUAUUCCUAGUGAAACCUUUGUUUAGAAGUUUGAUGCCAAUGUAUGUGAUUUCUAGCCUUCGUGUGUUGAGCUUUUGCCAUAUAUGUCUGAAAGUUGCCUAGAGGGGGGUGAAUAGGCAAGUGGAAACUUUUUCAACAAAAACUAGAAACGAACUGGGUAAAACCAGUUCAACCGGUGUCAAAACCGGUUCAACCAGUUUGCACGAGCUGAACUAAAGAAUGAGAUAUAAAACUGAAUUGAUCUCGAAAUCCACCUAGUUAACUUUGGAAAUGAGAUGUUCUAGUUGAUCCACAGGGUUCAAAGUAGUAGAUCUGAGAAGGGCACUUCUCAAAAUCCGCACACCAAAAAGAUAUAAAAACAAAUCUUCCACGGAAUGGUGAGAGAACGAAGAACACAAACAAACACAAUGAGCAAGAACACAAGAGACACAAGAUUUAUCCCGAGAUUCGGUCACACCACCAAGGUGCCCUACUUCCUCGUUGAGGCGCCCACAAAGAGCCGGGUCUCUUUCAACCCUAAUCCUCCCUUUGCCGACCACAAAGGUCAAGCCCACACAAUAAUCUUUGCUCAAACGAGCGGGUAAUACAAACUUUCUGGUGGUCUUCCACAAGAUUUGGAGACUCACAAGAGACACCUAGUCGUCUAGGAGCUAGAAGCUCCAAGAGUAAUGAAUCCACAAAGAACUCGAUGUAGUACCAAAGCUCGAAUCAAAAAGAGCAAGAGAGAUUUGGAGAUGAAGCACAAAAACCGCAGCUCUCAAACUCACUCAAAGAUUUCUCUCCAAAGAUUUGAAAUGGGAGAGGCAAGAGAUGUGUGAGAGAGAGUGGGAGGUGUUCUUCAAGUUAGAAAUGGGGUUUGGUCGUGCUCCCCUAUGGGGGAGAGAGGUAGGAGUGAGUAUAUAUAGGUGGGGCUCCAAAACUAGCCAUUUUUUGACUUUUCUGCUCAAAAACCGGUUGAACCGGUCCCAAAACCGAUUGAACCGGUUUUCAAAAAGCUACGCACAACUUUUUGGCUGACACAGCAGACUGGCAGGAAAAAGUGAACAGUGCAAAAACCGGUUGAACCGGUUUCCACCAGACAAAAAUCGGUUGAGUGUCCGGUUGAGUGUCCAGCUGAACCAGUAUUUGAAUACCAGCUGAACCAGUAUUUUCCAGAGAGCAAUUUUGGCCAAGACAGACUUAAAAAGGUUGUACUACAUACUUUCACUAAGGAUUAACAAGGGUAAAAUGGAAGUUUUAGAUCAAGGAUUUUGAGCUUUAGUACCAACACCAACCUUCUUUUUGGAUCCCCCUUGAUAGUACGACGAUUCCUAUACUCAAGUUAAAUAAAAUAUAAUUAAGUAAACUCUUUGAGAAAUUGGUGUCUCAUAUGUGAUUUCUCCAUGGCGUUGCUUCAUAAGGAUCACAAACAUCCUUGUCUCACCUUUUGAAGCAAACACAAAGCAAACCAUGUGACUUGUACCAUUUCACCAUAUAUGAGUUCAAAUCAUGGCUUCAAGUCACUUUACUGAUGCAUCAACAUAUUAUAGCUCUUCAUAGCUGAUUAGUUCAUCGACUUAGUGCAAGUACUCUCUUCUUCACCUUAGUCAUGGUACCUCGGUCCACAAGCCGUCGCUUGGCCUUCACCUUUGCUUAGUUCCUCGAAGCCCUUUCCUUGCUAUCUUCACCCUAUCAAGCCAUUCUUGAGUCACAUCAUAUUGAGCAUCCAUUGAGAGAAUCAUUUCUUCAAUAUUGUGAACUUUGCUUGAAUUUCAUCUAGAUAUAAAUGCUAAGAUCAAUCAAGCUCUAGUUUGAUUCUCAUAGAAGCAUAUAUGGACUAAUAGUAAUAUGGUGAAGCCAAUUUAUGAUUCCUCAUAUCUCACUCACUUUGGCUUGAUCAAUCCUCUUAAUCACUUCAACCUCUAUCAUGAUCAUAUUUAUGCAUAGUGAUUUCUCAGGUCUUGUCCAUAUAUUCAAACCAAUAUAGAGACCAUAUUAUAUCCAUUUGCAUUGUCUCACUGGUUAUAUAACCUUGUGUUAAACCUUUGUUCACUGAUCAUUAUACACUAUUCAAGUAUGUUCAUCAUACUGAAUUUCCUGUUCAACACUUAGCAAACUUGUUAGACCUUUAAAUGUGUUAUCCAAAUCACCAAAACUCACAAAAGGGAUGAAUGCACUUUCAAUGUCUGUGUGGCCUGUAGGUCUUUUUGGUCUGAUCAAUAGUUCAAUCUAAAAUUUUUGAGUAUGUAUGCUUAUGCCUCAAAAGUAUUUAGUGUGUUUGCGAACCUAGGACAUACUUCAUUAUGUGAAAUUUUACCAAUUUGAUCUCCUGAUCAUUUUCCCCUCCGUAUCUAAUCUGAUACAAAUCUUUGAUCUUGUCAUCUCUGCGAUGGGCAUAGAAAUAUGCUUGGGGCUGAAAUAACAGUCUCCCAUCGUACUCCCUUCAUUAACAAGUUUAGGUUAUGGCCAUAACUUGUUCGUUUCAUCGGGCCAUGAUCUAUUUGGCUCUCUACUUGUAACCAUUCUUACAGGUGGAGCCUCUUUUGUAUAUUGUCAUCCUGGCUCAGUCUAUUUGUGUCGUGUGAAAUUUCUUAUUGGUUAUGUCUGGUAAUGGUGUUAAGACUAAAACUGGUGGUGCCGCGACGAAACCGAGGGCCUCUUGUGAAUGUACACACAUGGUUGUGCUGCUCGGCACGCACUGGUAUUGCAGUUAAUAGUUGUAAUUCAUUAUGAGACUGUAUCAAUGUGUUAUCUUGGCACAAUCUAGUUGUACCAUGUGGGAUUCAUUAUUGGUGACGUUCAGUAAUGGUGUCUUGAUUAAUGACUUAUGGUGCCGCCGUGAAACUGAGAGCCCCUUGUGAAUGUACACGCAAGGUUAUGCUACUUGGCGCAUGCUGGUAUCGAGGUCUCUAGUCAUGAUCCAUUACGGAACUACCCUAAUAUGUUAUCUUCCAUAGAUCUCUUCCCUGAAAUGAUUGCGGUGUUGUUUGUCGAAGUGACCAAGCAACAUCUAACAUCUCUGUUGGAUCAAAAGAGCAUAUCGCUUUAAUGUGCUCUUUAACGAAUUCACUACCAAUUUAGAAAUCACCAUAAAAUCAGAAUUCUCUGAUUGUCUAAACUCCCUUUUAAAUUCAAUCUACCUUGAAAGAGCGUUUAAAAAAACAAAAACAAGUCAAGUCGACUGAUAACCACCUAAUCAUCGCUCUAGUCAUGCCUCGAUCGCCUCAUGUGUGCUUUUCCAGCAUGAGUGAUCAGGUCGAGUCAUGCUUAGUGCUUGAUAAAGUGGAUUGAUUGUGAAGCCAACGUUUGUUGAUAACCUUCACUGAUGUUUCCCCGAGUCUCCGCUACCAUUUUUGGACUUGGAUUUUCUGGCUAGCCACGGGUCAACUGUGAUGUUGUUCGACAUCCACACUUGUCUCAUGUGCCAUGGAAUUCCAAUGUUGGUUUAUUAACAGACCUCUCUAAGUAUGUUUUACCCAAAAGGUUGCAUCUAGUUCUGUUUGGAAAAAAGUCACAUAUCUACCGCUCGCUCAACAAACUCAGAUAGUAUAGUGUUAUCAGAAAAUGCAAACUGCACACAUGGAACCUUAGGAGUUUUUCUGGCAGAUAUCGUCUCUAUUGACAUCCCUAAUUGGCCUAAAGUGGUACAUGCUAUACCACUAGGAAACAACAUCUGAGAUCAUUGAUCCUAUCUAGAAUGGUCAUGUGCUAUUGCUGAUAUGGACAGGAGUUACAUGCUUCUCUACUCUUAAAAGUCUUUUGCUCCGAAUCUUGGGACGAGUUUCUUUUAUGGGGGGAGGGUUGUAACACCCGAGGUGUUUAUCGUUGGCUCGACCACGAGUGUGUACUUUAACACAUGAUAGCGGUGAAUAAAAUAGGCACUAAAUUUUAAUCAUCUUCGUCUAUCACGAUUUUGAUAUCGUGUCUGUCUCCAUCUGACUAAUUGUCACUAAUUUGUUUUUGCAAAAUUCAUACUUCAGUAAUCUUUCGAAACAAUGAAUCCAAUAUCGUUUGGGUUGAGCCAUCAACAUCUUGCCCAAACUUUAAUCCUUGAAAUCGGAUCUAGUUCCUUAAACUUCGUUUGAAAUUAUUUCACGCUUGCGUUGCACGUGUCUCUUUGUGGCCUGGCAUCGUGGCACGUGGCAGGUGCUAACCGGUGUCUGGACAUCACACAGCCUCUCGCCGACGUGAGCGAUGUGUGACGUCGCUUCCGAAAGAAUCACAGUUUCGAUGCCGCAUCGAUCUCGCGUAUUUGUUUCGCGAUAUGUCGAGUCUUGUGUCCGUUUAAAAUUUAUAGAUUAAGAUAAUACGAAUUCAGAAGCUCGACCCACUCUUAUGGUUUUAUCCCAAACAAAUUAAUUAGAACUCGAUGAAAAUGGUUUUCAGUCCGAAACAAACCAGACCAGUGUAAGUAGAACUGAAAGCGAGUAAUUGGUAAUUAAUUUGGUUCGCUAAUUCGUGGUCUGAAAAAUAAAAUGUAGUCUAAAAUGUAUUUUAGACCGACUCAUUUAAACUCUCACAAACUCUGGAAACUUGAUAAUUGCAUUUAACUUUGUGUAAAGAAAUGGGAGAGGGCAAAUAGGAAAAAUCUUGUCGCAAAUAUCUCCCUGCCGCCGCCCCUCAUCCUUGAUUUUUUUCAGCCGCCGCAUAGGCCCUAUUUGGCACAGCUUAUUUUCAUCUUCUUCACAAAUUUAAGCAGAAGUUCUGCCAAACAGGCAGCUUCUGCAGCAGCUUAUCAGUUCAGCUGCUUCUCAGAAUACACUAAAAGCAGCUAACAAGCAAAAGCUGCUUUUCACCAGCUUCUCAGAUAAGCUGCUUUUUCAGCAAGCAACAGCUGUGCCAAACAGGGCCAUAGUCUUAUCCCCUCCGCUCUCUCUCUCUGAUUUUUGUUAUCAGUCGCGUCUUCCUCCUCAUCUCCCACGCGCAGCCGAGCUCCUCCCAUCUCCUCCCCUGCUCGCUUCUUCCUGCGCGUGCUCUCCCUGGUGCUCCCACGCGCGCCCAUCUCCCUAAUGUCGCUCUCCCAUGGUGCGUCCCUGCUCUACUUCGCCAUGGCCGCCGCGCCAUCCCUGCCGGUGCUCGCUCGGCCGAGCUCCCUGCUCCCCAUGGCUGUCGGCUUCCCCUGUGAGCUUCAACUCCGGUCGUCUUCCUCCCUACUCGCCGGCCACUAGGAAGCUAUCUCCCUCUCGGUAUCUCCCAUGGCCGCUAAUAGCCCUAGCUAAGCUCGCCCUGGCCCCUGCAAUUUUUUUAUUUCCUGCAACUUGCCCUUGCCCUAGGUUCGACGAGCGCCGCUGCUCAGUUCACCUCUGUUUGAUGCCGAACUGGGCUGCCUGUCCUCAACCUCGCCGAUGUCGUUUCCCUGGUGCUUGCUCUCGCCCGAAGCCAUAGAGCAGCAGCAGCCACGACACUCUUUCGUCUCACGCCCUCGACGUGUUCGAUAAAAUGUCGCAGCGAUCUCCACCUCGAUCCGUGCCGCCCCAGUUGUGACCUCGUCGAAUCCCGGUGAGGACUCGUUGUUUUCCUUGUGUUUAUUCCUCUCUGGUACAUGUAUUCGACGCCAAUUAAUUAAAUGCUAAUCAUGUGCAUAUGUGUAUGCUUAUGCGUGGGAGGUGAGGAGAAAUUUUCCGGUCUUGGAGGGCAAAGAGAUCAAAGGUCUAAAGCAAACGCCCGCCGGGCUCGGUGAAAUCGCCUCAACCGGCGGUUAUUGUCGAUCUCUCGGAUUUGAGGUGAUUUAGUUGAGGUGAGCUGUUUCGCUACUUAUAUUGUUUAAUUUAAUGUUCGGCUUCAAUGGAGAUUGUAGUCACGAUGAUGUUAUCGUCUUUAGUGCGGCCGGGUUGUGGUGGAAUGCUCGGCAGAUCCGUUGUUAGGCAUAUGUGUUUUGUUCCGUGAUAAUGUGAGGAAAGUAUCUUUCCUCUCUUUUCCUUGUCCUUGUGAUGCUAUGUUGUAUGUCAUAUAUUUGGUGAAUGAAUAUAUCAAGAGAGAGUAAAUUCUUUAGACAUAUGCAUAGUAUGAUUAAAGUGAGUUCUUCUUUGUGAUGAUAAAUUGUAUAGAAUGUGCUUGGAUGAAUAUAUGUGCAGGCAUAGUGUGCUUAAAUUGAUUCUUUGUUCGCAUGAUAUGAGAUUAGGCUUAAAAUACUAGGUUAUGUGAAGUAAAUGAAUUCAUGGUUAUAAAGAAGAAAGCUAUGUAUGUGAUUAGAAAGUGUAGAAACUAGGAGCUAAAUUGAGUUCUUGCUGUUUGGACUGCAUGUCCAAUUUUAUUACGCGGCUAGCUAAGUAAAGUAAACCCUGUUUUCUGUAAAAAUAUUAUAUAGAAAAGUUGUAGAUAACCUCUUUAUCUCACUUGUGUAAAAAUUUCAUGACCCUAGGCCUAGCAGUUUAGGAGUUAUGAUUUUUCCAAGUCCAGUUUCAGAAUCUGUCCAAAUUCUGUACAUGUUUCGAAACUGAUUGUUUUAUUAAGUAAAACUGAGAAACAGCUCUUAGUAAUUAUAAUGAAGUUGUAGUACUUUUCGUAGGCUUUCCAAAAAGUCUUGGAUUCCCCCUUUUGGUGGUCUAGAAGUCAAG
rnacentral:lncRNA from 1 species